UUGCUUCAGCAGCACAAAUACUAAAGUUGGAACAUUACAAAGAAGAUUUGCAAAGCUCCUGUUCAAGAAUGAUAUGCAAAUUCAUGAAGCAUUGCAUAUUUUA